UACGGAGGGUCCAAGCGUUAUCCGGAAUUAUUGGGUUUAAAGGGUGCGUAGGCGGCCUGUUAAGUCAGGGGUGAAAGACGGUAGCUCAACUAUCGCAGUGCCCUUGAUACUGAUGGGCUUGAAUGGACUAGAGGUAGGCGGAAUGUGACAAGUAGCGGUGAAAUGCAUAGAUAUGUCACAGAACACCGAUUGCGAAGGCAGCUUACUAUGGUCCUAUUGACGCUGAGGCACGAAAGCGUGGGGAUCAAACAGG
rnacentral:rRNA from 1 species